AUAAGAGCCACUGUGGGGUAUUUGACCAGUACAGAAGCGGAAGAUAUCAGAACAUAAACUCUACUCACUCCAUCCACUGCUCUGUGGCCCCCCCAAAUCCUGGGAUUGUAAUUUAGUUUCCACUUGCAGAUUCAAGUGGACACUGGAUGCCAGAGCCCCAAAGCACCACUACCUGCACUUAAACAAAAAAAUUAAUGUUGAAGAUAACUGUCUUAUCAAAUACUUUUAUGCAUAUUGCACAAGAGUACAAUAAACAAUACAACCUGAAACUUAAUAAUCCUACAGGAAUGUAGUUCAGUACUGCUUUUUUUAUUUCUGC